rnacentral:rRNA from 1 species
UUCAGAGGUCUCAAGCGUUGUUCGGAUUCAUUGGGCGUAAAGGGUGCGUAGGCGGCGCGGUAAGUCGGGUGUGAAAUCUCGGAGCUUAACUUCGAAACUGCAUUCGAUACUGCCGUGCUAGAGGACUGGAGAGGAGACUGGAAUUUACGGUGUAGCGGUGAAAUGCGUAGAUAUCGUAAGGAAGACCAGUGGCGAAGGCGGGUCUCUGGACAGUUCCUGACGCUGAGGCACGAAGGCCAGGGGAGCAAACGGG